UUGAACGCUGGCGGCAUGCUUUACACAUGCAAGUCGAACGGCAGCGGGGGCUUCGGCCUGCCGGCGAGUGGCGAACGGGUGAGUAAUGCAUCGGAACGUACCCAGUCGUGGGGGAUAACUACGCGAAAGCGUAGCUAAUACCGCAUACGCCCUGAGGGGGAAAGGGGGGGAUCGCAAGACCUCUCGCUUUCGGAGUGGCCGAUAUCGGAUUAGCUAGUUGGUGAGGUAAAGGCUCACCAAGGCGACGAUCCGUAGCUGGUCUGAGAGGACGACCAGCCACACUGGAACUGAGACACGGUCCAGACUCCUACGGGAGGCAGCAGUGGGGAAUUUUGGACAAUGGGCGCAAGCCUGAUCCAGCCAUGCCGCGUGAGUGAAGAAGGCCUUCGGGUUGUAAAGCUCUUUCAGCCGGAAAGAAAUUGCUUCUAUUAAUACUAGGAGUAGAUGACGGUACCGGAAGAAGAAGCACCGGCUAACUACGU
rnacentral:rRNA from 1 species